CCACUAGACUUGUUCAGCACUAGACUUGUUCAGCACUAGACUUGUUCAUCCCUCUGUCCGUUGUGAUAUCUUUGUGCUGAUUUUCGUCCCCAUUACUCUCUAGAAAUUCUGUUUCACUUAUAUCGUGUAUGAUUCUUGGUAGUUUCUACAGGAAAUUGGUUGGAAAAAGUGACGUAACACUGUACUGCAUGAAGAGAAGUCUCAAAAAGCCCAACCACAAAGAUCCUGUUUGUGACAGUGGGUGUACAGUCUACAAUCUGACAUCAUUAAAUGUCUGUUAUCACAAUGGUAGCCAGUGAAUAUAAGCCUAGCCUACUUCUCGUCUGUUGCUGAUGUCAAUCAAUAUUGGCUUCUUCACUGACAUUUUUUUUUUGCCUAA